rnacentral:rRNA from 1 species
GGAGGGGGGGGGGAUCCCUAAUAAUGCAGUCGAACGCGCAGCGAAAGGUGCUUGCUCCUUUCAAGCGAGUGGCGAACGGGUGAGUAACACGUGGACAACCUGCCUCAAGGCUGGGGAUAACAUUUGGAAACAGAUGCUAAUACCGAAUAAAACUUAGUAUCGCAUGAUACAAAGUUGAAAGGCGCUACGGCGUCACCUAGAGAUGGGUCCGCGGUGCAUUAGUUAGUUGGUGGGGUAAAGGCCUACCAAGACAAUGAUGCAUACCCGAGUUGAGAGACUGAUCGGCCACAUUGGGACUGAGACACGGCCCAAACUCCUACGGGAGGCUGCAGUAGGGAAUCUUCCACAAUGGGCGAAAGCCUGAUGGAGCAACGCCGCGUGUGUGAUGAAGGCUUUAGGGUCGUAAAGCACUGUUGUAUGGGAAGAAAUGCUAGAAUAUGGAAUGAUUCUAGUUCGACGGUACCAUACCAGAAAGGGACGGCUAAAUACGUGCCAGCAGCCGCGGUAAUACGUAUGUCCCGAGCGUUAUCCGGAUUUAUUGGGCGUAAAGCGAGCGCAGACGGUUGAUUAAGUCUGAUGUGAAAGCCCGGAGCUCAACUCCGGAAUGGCAUUGGAAACUGGUUAACUUGAGUGUUGUAGAGGUAAGUGGAACUCCAUGUGUAGCGGUGGAAUGCGUAGAUAUAUGGAAGAACACCAGUGGCGAAGGCGGCUUACUGGACAACAACUGACGUUGAGGCUCGAAAGUGUGGGUAGCAAACAGGAUUAGAUACCCUGGUAGUCCACACCGUAAACGAUGAAUACUAGGUGUUAAGAGGUUUCCGCCUCUUAGUGCCGAAGCUAACGCAUUAAGUAUUCCGCCUGGGAGUACGACCGCAAGGUUGAAACUCAAAGGAAUUGACGGGGACCCGCACAAGCGUGGAGCAUGUGUUUAAUUCGAAGCAACGCGAAGAACCUUACCAGUCUUGACAUCCUUUGAGCUUCUAGAGAUAGAGUGUUCUCUUCGGAGACAAGUGACAGGUGGUGCAUGGUCGUCGUCAGCUCGUGUCGUGAGAUGUUGGGUUAAGUCCCCGCACGAGCGCAACCCUUAUUGUUAGUUGCCA